AGCGCCUCUGCUCCGGGCAGCAGGCCACCGACGGCCUGAAACGUCAGCCUAAAAGUAUUCAGACAUCUUUAAGUGCAAGAUUUAUUCUGGUCAGGAAAGCACCAGGAACAGUUCACAAGGUAUGACCACUCUGGACAGGACGCCAAUCCAUCGCAUCCCUGCUUCAGACAUGGGACAAUCAGCCGGCUGAUAGCACUGCUGAGAAUUGAACCCAAAACUCGUACAUAUAUAAAUCUGUGAUUAAGAUUUCUUACUUGUGGUCUCUUCUGUACUCCAGAGUCCUCCAUCCAUCUGUUACUGUACAUGACUGUUUACUCGAUGUCUGUGUUUAUGGAUUCUUGCUUUGCUUCUUAGUAUUUAUCAUAUGAAACUCAUGUGAGAGGAAAAAAUAAAUAAUUCUAGCCAGCAUGAAUGUAAACAUGUUAAAGAAUUACACCUGUGUUUUCCAAGCUUAUUUGUACUAGCUGCAUUUGUAGCAUAUGUGGAAUUACUGCUGACAAUAAAAUGGGUACUGGGUCACAACAGGAGAAA